ACUCCUACGGGAGGCAGCAGUAGGGAAUCUUCGGCAAUGGACGAAAGUCUGACCGAGCAACGCCGCGUGAGUGAAGAAGGUUUUCGGAUCGUAAAACUCUGUUGUUAGAGAAGAACAAGGAUGAGAGUAACUGUUCAUCCCUUGACGGUAUCUAACCAGAAAGCCACGGCUAACUACGUGCCAGCAGCCGCGGUAA
rnacentral:rRNA from 1 species